rnacentral:rRNA from 1 species
UACGGGGGGGGCAAGCGUUGUUCGGAAUUACUGGGCGUAAAGGGCGCGUAGGCGGCUUUGCAAGUGGCGGGUGAAAUCCCUCGGCUUAACCGAGGAACUGCCUGUCAAACUGCAUGGCUUGAGACCAGGAGAGGUGAGUGGAAUUCCCAGUGUAGCGGUGAAAUGCGUAGAUAUUGGGAGGAACACCAGUGGCGAAGGCGGCUCACUGGACUGGUACUGACGCUGAUGCGCGAAAGCGUGGGGAGCAAACAGG